GAAAGUGAUAGUGACAUUUUGACACUUCAGAUUUGUUUGAAUGUUAAAUCAUUAUAAUAUAUUAUAUUUUAAUAUUUUAUCUUACUCAAGAUCGGAGUGUUUUUCUUAUGUAUAUUAAUGUUUAGUCGAGAAAUCGUCUGUUAAAAACAACGUAUAUAGUGUGUGUUUCGAACUUUGAGACGGAAGGCUUUUAGUGAGCAACACAAUGUCGUCCAGAGCCUAGACCCAGGACAGUUAAUCGAGACGGCUUAUCCUGGCGGUGUAUUAACUGCACCUUUGCGGUGCCACAGCAACAAGUAUAUUUCUUGGACGAGCUGUCCAGUUUGUUUCAAUGCUGGAAUGAGUUUGUGCUGCCUACUGGAGAUCAGCUAAUAGAGAGGUUCACAGACAAUAUGACAUGACCCAACCAGCGCUGCAAGAAGUGAUUCACUCAGUUCAAGAGUAUAUAUAAACCUGCUGCAGCUAUAUCAAAUUCUUGUUUUCAUUUUGGGAUGCCAAGAAUAUAUACCUCUAUUAAAAAUAUACAUCUAUAUAAAAAUAUACAUAGGAUUUCGUA